CCGUUAAACACCAACUUCUGAAAUGUUGACCUCGGAUCAGGUAGGAAUACCCGCUGAACUUAAGCAUAUCAAUAAGCGGAGGAAAAGAAACCCAACAGGGAUUGCCCCAGUAACGGCGAGUGAAGCGGCAACAGCUCAAAUUUGAAAUCUGGCCCCUAGGGUCCGAGUUGUAAUUUGUAGAGGAUGCUUUUGGUGAGGUGCCGCCCGAGUUCCCUGGAACGGGACGCCACAGAGGGUGAGAGCCCCGUCUGGCUGGCCGCCGAGCCUCUGUAAAGCUCCUUCGACGAGUCGAGUAGUUUGGGAAUGCUGCUCAAAAUGGGAGGUAUAUGUCUUCUAAAGCUAAAUAUUGGCCAGAGACCGAUAGCGCACAAGUAGAGUGAUCGAAAGAUGAAAAGCACCUUGAAAAGAGGGUUAAAUAGUACGUGAAAUUGUUGAAAGGGAAGCGCUUGUGACCAGACUUGGGCGCGGCGGAUCAUCCGGGGUUCUCUCCGGUGCACUUCGCCGCGUCUGGGCCAGCAUCAGUUCGUCGCGGGGGAAAAAGGCUUCGGGAACGUGGCUCCUCCGGGAGUGUUAUAGCCCGUCGCAUAAUACCCUGCGGUGGACUGAGGACCGCGCAUCUGCAAGGAUGCUGGCGUAAUGGUCACCAGCGACCCGUCUUGAAACACGGACCAAGGAGUCGUCUUCGUAUGCGAGUGUUCGGGUGUCAAACCCCUACGCGUAAUGAAAGUGAACGCAGGUGAGAGCUUCGGCGCAUCAUCGACCGAUCCUGAUGUUCUCGGAUGGAUUUGAGUAAGAGCAUACGGGGCCGGACCCGAAAGAAGGUGAACUAUGCCUGUAUAGGGUGAAGCCAGAGGAAACUCUGGUGGAGGCUCGCAGCGGUUCUGACGUGCAAAUCGAUCGUCAAAUAUGGGCAUGGGGGCGAAAGACUAAUCG
rnacentral:rRNA from 1 species